GCGAGAGCGCCGGGUACAUCUCGGUCGGUGCACGGAGGGAACUGGCCUAGAGGGGUCACUCGGACCGCAGAGACCCCGCGAAACGGAGUCUACCUAUUCCCAGAGGCCGUCCCUUUCGAGGCACACGGGUAACUUGGCCGGAACUCCCAGCUGACCUCUCAGCCCCACACUCAGGACUGCAGCAGCUCAGAGCCGCCUCCAAAGCAGCCCCAGCGGCGCAGGCAGGAGAGGCAAACCCUCGUCGGGUUCCCAGGUGAGCCCGUGCCCGAGUGCUAGCGGGAUCCAGGUGAGCGUGCGCCCGAGUCCGCGAGUGACCAGGGCCUGCGCUCCACUUAGGAGAACUGGCAAGCAGCCCUGCAAAGACCCACUUCUUCAGCCUUUUGUAUACAACUGCCCGAGAGAAGGAGGACUUUGAAAUGCAUUUAUUGAAAACUCCACGCACAGUCCAACACUCCACAGUCUGGUGGUUCCUGUCAUGACUUCUUUGGAAAUGAACCCAGAAACAGAAGCACGGAUGGAUGACGUCGCUGCCCAAGGUGCUCCGUGAAGGAGAGAAGGAGCCAGGAUUUGUGGCUCUGCUCUCAACUGCUCAGGUCAGACAGAGGAAGGACUUGUGUGGAUGGCGAUGGUGUUAAAUGCAGUCAUCAGGCCCAGGGAACAGGUUUAUGUGCUGGUGAAAGAGGGGAUGUUUUGCAAACACAGCAUUUGCCCUGCAUCUGGGGUGGAGCAAACAUGGACAAGUUGAGUAUUUUU